rnacentral:rRNA from 1 species
UGGGCCUAUGGGAGGCAGCAGUAGGAAAUCUUCCACAAUGGGCGAAAGCCUGAUGGAGCAACGCCGCGUGGGUGAAGAAGGUCUUCGGAUCGUAAAACCCUGUUGUUAGAGAAGAAAGUGCGUGAGAGUAACUGUUCACAUUUCGACGGUAUCUAACCAGAAAGCCACGGCUAACUACGUGCCAGCAGCCGCGGUAGUACGUAGGUGGCAAGCGUUAUCCGGAUUUAUUGGGCGUAAAGGGAACGCAGGCGGUCUUUUAAGUCUGAUGUGAAAUCCUU